CCUUCACGAUCUUCCUACACGUGAGCGACAAACUGCUCUCUCUCUUUCUGUGUCUGUGUGUGUGUGUGUCGCCUUUAACACCCAAUAAUAAUCACUUUAGAAAUACGUCGCGACAUGCUAAUACGUCCCUGUACGACGUCAUUGUAACCGACGGACCGUAAUCAGGUGAAUUCGUUUUUUGUUUACCGACCGACGGUAGAAAACUACCACCGCCUGCGUCCCCCCCUCCCACGCCGGGUGGGAAACACGCACUUUCGAAUUCGCGCGAGAAGUUUGUUUUCGGUUUAUUUUGGAAUUUUGUGUGAUUGAUUAUUUUGAUUUUUCUUUUUAUGGAUAUGUUGUGACAUUUUGAUUGGAUUUAUAUUUGAAUUUUUGUUCGGCGCCUCAUUUAUGGACUGGUAUUUUUUGGGAAUAAGGAGGUGUCACAAAAAGCCACAACGCUGGAACAUUUAAAGCCUAUUGUGGCUUCGAUCACUACUCUCAUCGGGAAUUGUGAUAGUAUGGAAGCCACGUACUGCGUAGGGAGUGACAUUGACGUUUGUAGGAUGUUCGAUCAGUACUUGUACAAGAGAUCCGAGAACGUUGAUUUGGCCCUGAGUAUACCGCAGUCGAAUUUUCAAGCCAACGGAUACGAUAUGGGCGAUCAGACGUUUCAUACGCCGAAUUUCGGCGACGAGGAGUUCGAUAUACCGAAUAUAAAUCACCAACAACAACAGCAGCAGCAGCAGCAACAACAGCAACAACAGCAGCAGCAACAGCAUGCUCAACAGGCGCAUAAUGAUCAACAGCAACAGCAGCAGCAUUAUCAACCUCCUAUGCAGAGUAUGCAGCAAAUGAAUCAACAAAUGAACCAGCAACAGGACGCGAUGGGGAUGCACGACCCCACCGGGGGGUACCAGCAACCCUUGUACCUCUCAGGUCCGGAUCAUGGGAUGGUGGGGCAGCAGUACCACAGUCCCCAGCCCAACUAUUCAAUGUCUCCAAGCCAACAGCAACAACACAACAAUCAACUUCUUAUGAUCCAUCAGCAGCAGCAGCAACAGCAGCAACAACAACAACAGCAUCAGCAGAUGAUGAUGAGUCAUGGGCAACCACCUCCCGGUAGUAUAGGGUACGGGGCGUCUCCACAACAUCCCCAAGGAAGAGGAAAUAGUCCCCCUGCACCUGGACAGGAACAUACCACGAGCGAUGAUAGUGACGAUAGUACUCCGCAUCCUGCUAUGAUAACGGCCAUGAAGAGACCCAGCCCGGAACCCGCCGAUCCCGGUCUAACAAAAGCCCAAAAGAAACCGAAGGUGCAAAAGAAGAAAAAGAAGAGGGACCCCAACGAGCCACAAAAGCCCGUAUCUGCUUACGCCCUAUUCUUCCGCGAUACACAGGCGGCCAUCAAGGGCCAAAACCCUAACGCCAGUUUCGGGGAAGUAUCCAAGAUCGUCGCUUCUAUGUGGGACGCCUUAGAUUCAGAACAUAAAAAUGUGUACAAGAAAAAGACGGAAGCAGCUAAAAAAGAGUAUUUGAAAGCCCUGGCCGCCUACAGGGCGAGUUUGGUGUCCAAGGGGGCGGGGGAGGGCGAGGGCGGCCCCAUGUACGGCAACUACGGAAAUUACGCCGCUGGUCCCCCUGGAGGAUCUCCCUACGGCGGCUAUCAACCCCAAGGUACAAUACCGUCACCACCGAUAUCCUCAGGUGCGCCCACCCCCUCGCCAUCCCAGUCGCCGAUUAAUAAGAAACCGCCCCAGAUGAUGGGCGGCAUGGGCGGCGGUUCGCCCCAAUCCCACCCCGGCAUGAUGCCGUCGCCGAUGGGCGGUCACAUGUCCAUGCAGCAACACAUGCAACAACAACAGCAACAGCAUAGUAGUUAUAUGCAACAGGUUCCUCAACAACAACACAUACCACUAUCGCCGCAUCAGAAUCACCCCCAGCAAGUGCCCGUUUCCCCCCACAAUCCCCACAUGCAGCAGCCCCAGCAGCAGCAACAGCCCCAGCAACACAUGAGCCCUCCCCCCAUGGUAUCAAGUUCCCCCCCGGUGUCACAGGUUAUGUACGUCGGUAAGGAGGUGGUGCCCUGCUGGAGUCCCUCCAUCAGCCCCACCCUCCCAACCGCCCCAGCAGCAAACCAUGGCUCCUGGCGGUAUGAGGCCCCAGCAGAACUCCUGCAUACGUCACGGAUGUACUAAUCCGGCCAUUACGAAUCCGGAGUGGGAGGACGAGUACUGCAGUAACGAGUGCGUUGUUAGCCAUUGCCGAGACGUAUUCUCGAACUGGGUGGCGGGCAACAAGAGCCAACAACAAAACUUCUCGACGGUUAAAUAAACACCCCUAAUAACCGACAGCCUACAUAGGAGGAUGACGUAAAACUUUUCAAAAAUAAAAAAAAUAUUAAUAACGUUAUAAAAUUUCAUAGCAAUAUCCGAUUUAAAAAAAAAAAAAUUAGCGGUAGACGAGUUUGUACGGAAAAUGUUAUCGGUAAAGUUGGAUAAAUAUAGGAAGAAUGUAAUAGUGAGAGGCUAGAGUAAGUAAGACGUAUUCUUUGUAUAUAAACUGAUAAUCACUA